AUGCCCCGGAAGCUGCGGGCGCGCCGCAAGAGCCACGCCCUCGCCGGAGCCGCCCCUAACACCGACGUCGUCCGUACCCUCUCCGCAUGGGUAUCCACCCCAGCUCAAACCCUCGCUUCGGUGGCGACACAGGUGACCGGGGAAAUGCUCCAUCCACUGGAUGAUCGCUUCUCAUCCACUUCUCCGCGCGUGCGAUACGCCUUCCUCGGAUUCACAGUGGGGACGGGACUGAUGAUCCUUGCCCCGCUUUUGCAGGGUCGCGACGACGCGGAGAAGCGGCGGGUGGUCGGUGUGGUGGUGGGAAAGGGCUGCUUGAAGCGGUCGUUGGGUGGUGCGAGCGGCGGGGGUUCCGAUUCGUCCAAAAAGGUGAGCUUUGUGUUGGAGCCCCAGGUGCGGGUCAUGUCACCAGCCGCUGCCAACACAAGGGGGAGGCGGAAGGGCGGGGAGACUGUUCCUGUUCGUGGUGCAGGCGUAGGCGGAGGGAGGCCUCGUCGUCAGACCCGUGUCCAACUUGGUGGUGGUUCUGCUCCAGUGGUAGGGGCACAUGCUCCGGUUAGGCGGUCUAAGAGGAUUGCCAUGAAUUUGGGUGCUGGAGUUGAGCAGCUUACUGCUCCGGCUAAAGCAAUUGCAGCGGCUCCGGCACCUACUGAUUUAGCACCUUCUAACAUAGUUGGAAGUAAUGCUCCCAAGGCUGAGGAAGAAGAUGAGGUAGAAGAAACUGUUGGCAAGACGCGGAACAAGAAGAGAAAGUGCAUGGAUAGUUCUGUGCAUAUGGUUCUCAAUGCACAAAUUGGAGUUCCUCGUAGAUGCACAAGGUCGAGCGGCCGGCUACCAGCAGCCCCUCAUGUGCUUGAGAAGAGAGGGCGGAUGAAGGCAACAUAUGUUAAGGAACAGACAUGUGUUGAGGAGCAAUGUGCUGAAGAUCAAGACUUAGGUAGAACAUUAAAUUCUGGAUUAAUUGCUCUUGAGAGCACGAGAAGUUGCAGCAAGGUGCAAGAAGAUGAACUUGCUGCGCAAAGGGCCGCUAAGGAGGAAACAUCAGGUAGGGCCACAAGAUCAAGCUCAAUAGCAGCUGCUAUGAUGUCUCCCAUUGUCGUUGAGUACAAGAGGACAAGGAACACAGAAGAUGCACGCUCUGAUGGGGAGAUGCCUGUAAUGGAUGCUCCUGUUCUCGGUGGUUUAAGGAGUAGAGCUGGUCAGGGUGACAAUGGUGUGGUGGAGGAAAAUCACUUUGUCAAGAGAAUGGGAAAUAGGAGGGGACCCAGUAAACCAACUACUUGCAUCAACAGGCAUCAACAGCUUGCAUCUUCUAUAGAGGAAGAAUAUCAAGAACAAGUUGUUGCUCCCUUUAAGGCCCGUCCACUGAGGCAAUCUAGGCGAAACCAUUCCGCUGCCAGCGAAUUGCUGUCCGCGCACAAUGCGGCCAAUGACGGCAUAGAGGAUAAUGUGGUGAAGGAAGACGAACAUUUGGUGUUACCAAGGAAUGGCAGAGCUAAGGAUUGUGCUGGUGCAGAGGAGCAAGUGGCCGAGGUGGUAGUGAGAAAAGGAUGUUUGAAGCAUCCAGGGAGUGAUGCGAGCAGUGGCAGCUCCAGUGCUGCCAAAAAGGUGAGAUUUGUGUUGGUGGAGCAGGCAGAAGCGGAGACAGUGGGACUCAGGAGGCCCUGGGUAACAUGGUCCCCGGUUGUUGCCAAGACAAGGGGUAGGCAGAAGGCCAGGGUGACUCUUGCUGGUGCAAAACCAGGCGGAGGAGGGCAUCAGCGGACGAGUGUUGAUGGUGAUUGUGAUGGCGAAGGUGCCGAUGCUGGAGAUGCAGGUUCAGAUGCCCGGUUGAGGUUGUUCAAGACGAAUGUGGGGAAUUUCGGUGCUGUUGAUGGAGUCGAGAAGGUUGUUGGAGCUGCAAGUCGGAAUACCACCUCCAAGGCUGAUGUGGAAGAUGGGGAUGUAGAAGCAGUUGAUAGGAAGCGAAAGGCCAGCGAGAAUGCUGAGGAUAUAGGGCAUGUUUGGUUGAUGACUAGCAUUGCCACAACUAACCUUAGUCAAAUUCUGUCUGCCACAAAAAGUGUGGCAAACAAAAUGGCCACCAAAAUUGUUGCAAACUUUGGCAAGAAACUGAGUAUAUGA
rnacentral:rRNA from 1 species